GACGAACGCUGGCGGCGUGCCUAAUACAUGCAAGUAGAACGCACAGUUUAUACCGUAGCUUGCUACACCAUAGACUGUGAGUUGCGAACGGGUGAGUAACGCGUAGGUAACCUGCCUGGUAGCGGGGGAUAACUAUUGGAAACGAUAGCUAAUACCGCAUAAUAUUAAUUAUUGCAUGAUAAUUAAUUGAAAGGUGCAAUUGCACCACUACCAGAUGGACCUGCGUUGUAUUAGCUAGUAGGUGAGGUAACGGCUCACCUAGGCGACGAUACAUAGCCGACCUGAGAGGGUGAUCGGCCACACUGGGACUGAGCCACGGCCCAGACUCCUACGGGAGGCAGCAGUAGGGAAUCUUCGGCAAUGGACGAAAGUCUGACCGAGCAACGCCGCGUGAGUGAAGAAGGUUUUCGGAUCGUAAAGCUCUGUUGUAAGAGAAGAACGGGUGUGAGAGUGGAAAGUUCACACUGUGACGGUAUCUUACCAGAAAGGGACGGCUAACUACGU
rnacentral:rRNA from 1 species